AUCGGGGCUCGGCUGAGGGGCGGCUCUUCCCUCAGCCCACUCGCACAGAGCCAGACACACCCGGUACCCCGGCGGCUGCCCGGUGUGUGAGGGGGCCGGCCGGGCUCCAGCCCCUCCCUCCCCCGGGCCGGGAAGCGAAAGCGAAAGGCGGCCCCGAGCCGGCUCCGGAGGUGGCUGUGGAGCCGCCGGUAGCUGCAGCAGCCCCGGCCGUGCCCCCGGCCCGUCCCCCCGGCCGUGCCCCCGGCCCGUCCCGGCCGUCCCCGCCGGGAGCCGAGCGGUGAGGGAGGCCUCGGGUCCCUUGGAGGAGUCGUGGAUAAACCAAAGAACAACUAUUGUUCAUUUCUGCUUUCACUUUCCUUUUUUUCCCACAGAAAACUGUUACAGAAGUCUCUGAAUUUUCCCGACCCAAACCAGAAAAGGAUUCCGGGAUCCAAAACCUCAGUUUCAAGCCUCUGAGAGGGCGGUGUCGGCUCAGAAUCAAGGUUUCCAUGGAUUUUACCAGCCCUCCAUUAUCUCUCCAAGACAAUGGUUUUAGUAUGGUACCCACUGAUCCACUGGGGACACCCCUGGAAGAGACUGAAAAACUCAAGGAAGAGCUGAGGAUGUGGAAGAUAAGAGUUGAAGAUGCUGGGAAGGUGAAAGCUGACCUGUUUUACUCCAAGCUAGCAGCAGAGGCGGAGUGUGGCAGGGCAGAGAGGCAGCUGGCAGAGCUGAAGGAGCAGCAGAGGCAGAGGAAGGACAGCAGCACCAGCUGUGAGGUGUGCAGGGGGCUGGAGUGUCACCAUGUGUCGAGGGAAGGAGACCAGGACAUCAAUUGAUCAUCACAGGCCCAAUUUUAUUGAUCAGUAUGGCGGGUUAAAUACAGUUCAUAAUGAACUUGAUGCAUAUUGCAAAAGUUGAGCUCAGGAUUGGUUAGUUACAUAUCAGCAACUACACCUACUUCUGCAUUUCUAUGGUUCUGCUUUUGAUACUUUCUACAUAUUCUCAGGAGAUAUUCAGGAGUAAUCUCAACUCCCUAUCCCCAUGUUGCAGCGAGGCCACUGAUUGCUAAUUGCUGACAUCUCCUUUCAGCUUGCUGACUGCUGACUUCCCUCUCUCAGCUUAACCAGCGGCAUUAUGUCAGCAUGGCCUUUCUCAGCUAGCCAACUAUUAACAAAACUCUCCACACUGGAGGUGUUUGCAGGGCUGGCAAAAUGGGAGCAACAUUCCCAGUUUCACUGCCUUUGCCGGUCGGAUGUUCCACGUGUUCUUUGCUGCACUUCAGCUUUUCACUGGCAGGCAAAGAGACUGCAAUAAAAUGAAUCUGUUUUGGGGUGAAACCUGCCA
rnacentral:lncRNA from 1 species